AUUARAUAUCUUAUUCUUGAAAAUUUAUGUGUUAAACUAGGAUUAGAUACCCUAUUAUUGUAAUGUAUAGUUUAUAAAUGCCUAGGUAGUAUUAGUUAUGGUCUUGAAACUUAAAAAAUUUGGCGGUAUUUUAGUCCAUUUAGAGGAACCUGUCAUGUAAUCGAUGGUCCACGUUGAACCUUACUUUUCUUUGUUUUUCAAUUUGUAUACCGCCGUUAUUGAAUAUUUUAUAAGAACAAUAAUUUUCAAUUUUUUUAAAGUAGAAAUUAAUAUCAGGUCAAGGUGCAGUUUAUGGAUAAGUAUAGAUGGGUUACAAUAAUUUUUAUUUUGGAUAUUUAAUUUAAAUGUUAAAUUGAAAUUGGAUUUAUUAGUAAGUUUUGUAGAU
rnacentral:rRNA from 1 species